rnacentral:rRNA from 1 species
CCUACGGGUGGCAGCAGUGAGGAAUAUUGGUCAAUGGGCGCGAGCCUGAACCAGCCAAGUAGCGUGAAGGAUGACUGCCCUACGGGUUGUAAACCUCUUUUAUAAAGGAAUAAAGUGAGGCACGUGUGCCUUUUUGCAUGUACCUUAUGAAUAAGGACCGGCUAAUUCCGUGCCAGCAGCCGCGGUAAUACGGAGGAUCCGAGCGUUAUCCGGAUUUAUUGGGUUUAAAGGGAGCGUAGAUGGGUCGUUAAGUGAGUUGUGAAAGUUUGCGGCUCAACCGUAAGAGUGCAAUUGGAACUGGAGACCUUGAGUACGGUUAAGGUAGGCGGAAUUCGUGGUGUAGCGGUGAAAUGCUUAGAUAUCACGAAGAACUCCGAUUGCGAAGGCAGCUUGCUAAAGUGCCACUGACAUUGAUGCUCGAAAGUGUGGGUAUCAAACAGGAUUAGAUACCCCAGUAGUC